rnacentral:ncRNA from 1 species
UGAUAGCGUAGAAACGUGAGGUUGCCGCAUGAAACAAGGCGGGUUUUCCGUGGAGCGAAGGUCAAGUUAUAAAACUGGCGACAA